CGCUGGAGACCUUUCUGCUUCCCUCAGGAUUGAAAAAAUAAUAGAUUCCGUCACAGUCUCACAUUGGGUUGAGGAGCAUGCUCGCAGGUUCACGAGGGACAGUGUCUGCACAAGAAAGGGAGCAAGUGUCUCUGGCUCAUAUGCUAUCGCUGCACACAUAAAACAGGCCAUUAAGCAAGUUAGCGAUCAUUAAUGAACAUACUCGAGCAAGAUAGAUAUUUAUGCAAGUUGACGCGACACGUCAUUCAUUAAAAUAUUUGCUCAGAACACUGUCAAAUAAACAGCUGCACAUACAGCAACUCUGUUGUUGAGAACCUGCAUUGGUCUUAUAACAGUUAUGAUAAUGUAGAUCUAGAUCUGCAAGCGUUUCAGUAAAGAAUGACACGAGUCUUUUACACGUUCUGAUGUCAACUCAUGCAGUGAUACAGUAAAUAUGUGUGAAUAAUUUGGUGAAAAAAAUCAUAUUGUGGGUAUUAUGUUUCAAUUUAGGGUUGUGAUAAAAUACUAAUAAGUUUAGUAGUUUUAUUUACAGGCUACGAUUCAGAGAAUAAAAAAAAAUAGAAGAAUACCACAUUUGAACAAAACAAAAAUAUUAUUUAUUUACCUGUACUGUCUGUUUUUUUUUUAACUUCCAACUCCCACUGUCUGUUGCCGCCAGGCAAAUUAAAGCGAUGCACGCGCUGUUUGGCAGCGUGUUUCAUUGGUGGAUCUAUGUGUCACCCAAGUAGCCUGGUGGUGAUUGGUUGGCGGACCGCUAAUGUCACGGAAGCAGGUGUGGGAGUGUAGCGCCUUAGCCCAGUAAUGCUGGUAGCCUUUCUUAAUAGAGCCGAAACGUAGGCCCAGCGUUUCAGCGGUAAGGAUGUGGACGGUGACAGUUAAUUGGAGAAGCGGGCCAAUUGGAGCCUACACUAUGUGUGUGAGAUGAAAGAGUUGGUGGUAACUGACCUGGAGACUGUGCUUCCAGGACACUGGUAUCUUCCCCCUUCAAGCUACAUCAAGUUUCCUUCUCACUUUCACCCACACUCAUCCCUGGGAAAUGUAGAUCUUUUCCUGACAAGUUCCUCAAGAAGCAAAGCCUCUGGAGAUCAUCAGCAGAGCUCUGCCAAAGAAUGCGUGGGAAUAGUCUGGAUGGGAAAGGGAAGGGACUUUUAAUUGUUUUUCUUUUUUUCUUGUUCUGGAAUUAGUCAGUGGAAAAAAAUCUGUGAUUGUUCCUUUAUUUACCUUACAGGGAGCAAGGAUUUAAAGCGUGGGUGGCAGCCAUUGCUUAUAUAGGAGGCUCAAUAGUUAUAAUACUAUUCUAAUGUAAUUCUACCACUAAUGUUUGGAAAUGUUCUCCAUAUGAUACAAAUUAUGCAUAAUAAUUCUGUUUUGGAUAAGAUAAAUCAUGCAACUUUGAAGAGAAAUUACAGUAUGUACUCACUGUGUUUAUACACUCUGUAACCUGCCUGUAUCAACAGCUGGAAUAACAAGUGCUGUAUUUUUGGUCUUCAUUAAGAGCUCGCUCUGAUGGUUUCCUGAGUGGAGACAUUUAAAAGUUCAGCUCACAGGCUGAGGGUCGAAAAGGGCUGAAGAAGGAACUAAAAUGUCCUUUAACCAGACAGUUCUUUUGAAAAAUACAAUUCUUAUUUAUUAACAUUUUAUAAUUUAUAUAUCAGUUUUUAAUGUGUUUUUAAGGUAAGUGUCAUUUUUUCUGUAACAAAAUAUCUUCUUAAAUAAAAACUCAAUUUAGUUCCA
ensembl:lncRNA